GACGAACGCUGGCGGCGUGCUUAACACAUGCAAGUCGAACGGAAAGGCCCUGCUUUUGUGGGGUGCUCGAGUGGCGAACGGGUGAGUAACACGUGAGUAACCUGCCCUUGACUUUGGGAUAACUUCAGGAAACAGGGGCUAAUACCGGAUAGGAGCUCCUGCUGCAUGGUGGGGGUUGGAAAGUUUCGGCGGUUGGGGAUGGACUCGCGGCUUAUCAGCUUGUUGGUGGGGUAGUGGCUUACCAAGGCUUUGACGGGUAGCCGGCCUGAGAGGGUGACCGGCCACAUUGGGACUGAGAUACGGCCCAGACUCCUACGGGAGGCAGCAGUGGGGAAUAUUGCACAAUGGGCGGAAGCCUGAUGCAGCAACGCCGCGUGCGGGAUGACGGCCUUCGGGUUGUAAACCGCUUUCGCCUGUGACGAAGCGUGAGUGACGGUAGUGGGUAAAGAAGCACCGGCUAACUACGUG
rnacentral:rRNA from 1 species